rnacentral:rRNA from 1 species
AUGGCGGCCGCCUGCGUCCUCGUCGAUUCCGCGGCCUACAUCGACGACACCAACGACAGCACCAACGGCAGCACGGCCCAAGAGUUUACCAGUACAGGCAAUCGGAUCGUGGUUUCCUUGUGGCCUGCGUCCCCGCCGAUCCCAUCCCGUCUCACCGUGCACGGCAAGGAGAUGCAUCCCGGCCAUGACUUCUUCCAGGAACCCAAGAUCCUUUGCGCGGCGGACUGCUUCUUUGUCCUCCGCAUCGCCAUCGGCCGCAGCCCCCCACCCAGAUACAUCACACAGAAGAUGAGUGACUACUUCAUCUACCAGCCGGCUAGAUCCACAGGUCCGUCGCUCACGCUCCUCCCUCAUCCUCACCCUCACUUGUUCGAAGACGAUGAGGUUGGCGUCCUCCGCCGCGGCGACCACUUCACCAUCGCCGUGCUGUCUCAAGCCUCGUAUUUCAAUUUCGUGCUCUACCUGUUCAAGUCCGAGGACUGGUAUUGGACCUACAAGGAGGUGCUAGUGGACCCGCCGCAGAUACCCUUCCCGAUGCCGCUCCCUCCUGACCAUGGCCGCGGCCACUUUCAGCAUGUUACCAACUCGGUCAUCACCAUCGGAAGCAGGGGGGCCAUUGGCUGGGUUGAUCUCUGGCAAGGAAUACUGUUCUAUGAUGUGCUCGGUGACAAUGAGGACAAAAUCCACCUUGUGACGCUGCCGGUAAGGCCAGGAAGCCACGGCGGCAAGGCGCUUGAUUGCUGUCCAAAGCCUUACCGAAGCGUUUCUGUCGUGGGGGAUUGCCUCAAGUUUGUUGAGUUGGAACCCUCCGGCCAUCGUCUUCCUGGUAAAGACCCUGAAACCAGGGGCCCCAAGCUCAAAAUUGAUGACUGGACACUCACCACAUAUACCAACUGCAAAAUCACCGGCGAUCCCGAGGAUUGGAAACCCGACUUCACUGUCAAUGCAUCUGCCAUCCGAAUUGACGCGACAAUGCGGUCCGUAUUGCUUCGCUGUGGAAUGCUGCUGCGUAAGACUCACAACAGUAGUGAGGCUGCAGAGAGAAACUUGCAAAAUCUCUGGACAUGUCAGCCUGUUGUCGGCCUGAAUGAUGAAGGUACUAUUGUUUACCUCAUCACCAGGGUCAAAUUUCAGCACCCUAAGGCAUGGCUUCUUGCUGUUGACAUGGCCAACAACCAAGUACGAGGAAUGGCUAUGAUUGAAACUGAAAGGAGCACCGCCUUGUCGCUCAAUUAUUUUCCUUGUAGGAUCUCAUCUCCAGCUAGCUGA